GGCACAAUGGCCGAGUGGUUAAGGCGUGAGACUUGAAUUAUUCAACAUCUCAUCCCCUCCUCCGCCCACCUUCGUUUUUGGCUAUGACA